UACGGAGGGGGCCAGCGUUGUUCGGAAUUAUUGGGCGUAAAGGGCGCGUAGGCGGCUUGGUAAGUCAGUUGUGAAAUCCCUCGGCUCAACCGAGGAACUGCGUCCGAUACUGGCAGGCUGGAAUCCGGGAGAGGGAUGUGGAAUUCCAGGUGUAGCGGUGAAAUGCGUAGAUAUCUGGAGGAACACCGGUGGCGAAGGCGGCAUCCUGGACCGGUAUUGACGCUGAGGCGCGAAAGCUAGGGGAGCAAACGGG
rnacentral:rRNA from 1 species